CAAGGAGUAUGUCAGAUGUUUACCUGCUUACCAUCUCACUUUCUCUGCCUCGGACAGAAAGUUGAAGGUUGAAGUUGUGGGUAGUUGUCAGAGUACUUCAUCAAGACAGCAACUAACGCCCCUUGUAAAUACUCCCAAAAAUUGUUCACAAAUCCAGCUGGUGGAGCGGAAAUGGCCUUGACCAUUUUUUUUAGUGAACUGAGAAAUGCUGUGCGAGGAAGAAAUUAGAUUGCGGACAAUGGAUUGAAAGUCCACGAGAAGGAGAAAAAGAAUCAACUUUCCAGAUAGGGAACUCAUUUUUCUUUUAAUAAAUUGAGGGAAAACUGGAAGAAGAGUCGACGGGAGGAAGAAAAAAAGAUUUAACUUUUCAAGAUUGAGGAAAAUCACAAGGAAAUACUAAAGGGAGGAGAAAAAGAUUAGCUUUUCAGUUUUAGACAAAAAUUUAGGUAUCAGAACUCAGCAGAUCAUAAUCUUCUUAUUCAGAUAUGAGAGUUAAAGCAAAGGAGCUGGGGCUGUUAGCUGAGUCAUAUUUGGAGGGAAUGCAAUCAAUAUACAAAUUGAUUGGCCAAGUGCAGCAUUUAUGGUCCAUUGGGUUCACAAGUUCUUGAUGACAUCCCUGCAGAGAUGCGAGAUUUGUUGGAAGCGUAUGUGUUAGCCGUUGCUUAUUCUCAUUUUGUUUCUAUUUAAGAGAUUAUGACCUCUUCCAAUGUACCCAAAAAA